rnacentral:tRNA from 1 species
GACCGCGUAGCUCAUUUGGAAGAGCAUUGGGCUGGUAUUCCAAAGGCCGUAGGUUCGAAUCCCACCGUGGCCG